rnacentral:rRNA from 1 species
GACGAACGCUGGCGGCGUGCCUAAUACAUGCAAGUCGUGCGGACCUUUUAAAAGCUUGCUUUUAAAAGGUUAGCGGCGGACGGGUGAGUAACACGUGGGCAACCUGCCUGUAAGACUGGGAUAACGCCGGGAAACCGGGGCUAAUACCGGAUCGUUUUUCCUCCGCAUGGAGGAAAAAGGAAAGGCGGCUUCGGCUGCCACUUACAGAUGGGCCCGCGGCGCAUUAGCUAGUUGGCGGGGUAACGGCCCACCAAGGCAACGAUGCGUAGCCGACCUGAGAGGGUGAUCGGCCAAAUUGGGAAUGAGACCACGACCAAACUCCCACGGGAGGCAGCAGUAGGGAAACCUCCGGAAUGGAAGGAAGGCCUGAGGAGCAACGCCGGGGGAGUGAAGAAGGCCUUCCGGUCGGAAAAACCCGUUGCCGGGGAAGAACAAGUGCCGUUCGAACAGGGCGGCGCCUUGACGGUACCCGGCCAGAAAGCCACGGCUAACUACGUG